rnacentral:rRNA from 1 species
CAAUAGCGUAUAUUAACGUUGUUGCAGUUAAAAAGCUCGUAGUUGGAUUUCUGGGGGGAGCGUCGGCCCGUAUUUACGAGUGCGUGACGUCUCUGUCCAUCCUUGCGGGAAGGCACGGCAUUGAUUUGUUGUGUCGGAUCGCAUCAUUUACUGUGAAAAAAUUAGAGUGUUCAAAGCAGGCUUUCGCUUGAAUACAUUAGCAUGGAAUAAUAAGAUAGGACUUUGGUGCUAUUUUGUUGGUUGAGCCUAAAGUAAUGAUUAAUAGGGAUAGUUGGGGGCACCUGUAUUGCGUUGUCAGAGGUGAAAUUCUUGGAUUUACGCAAGACAAACAGCUGCGAAAGCGUCUGCCAAGGAUGUUUUCAUUAA